ensembl:snoRNA
AUCCUUUCGGUUCAUUCACGUGAUGAUUGGUGCGUUCACGGUGACUCCGUGAAAGGUGCUGCCCCUUAUCUUGUUACGCCAAGCGCCUCAGCCUGUCUGAUC